AUUUUUUAGCUUAUUUUUUGUUAUUUGUUUUUCCGUGUUUAAUAAAAGUAUUUUUUUUUUUAGUAAUGUUUAUUGAAUAAAUUCUUUUUAUUAUAGUUUAUUAGUAUUGAGAAAGAAAGUUUAAAUAGAAUGAAAUAUAUAAAUUUUAAAAAGAAUAAUUAAUUUUUUGUACCUUGUGUAUCAGGGCUUAUUAAAAUAGAGCUCAAUAUUUAGUUUUCUCGAAUUAAGAAGAGCUAAUUUGAUAUAAAUAUUAUUGUAGCAUGAAUAUUUAUAAUAUUAAGUUAGUAAUGAAACGUUAUUCGUUUUUUAAGAUAUCUAGUUUCUUGAGAAAAGAAUUUAAUUCUUUCACUUUUAUUCAUUUUGUUUUAUAUUUAAUUUUUUGGUAGAGAGUGGUUAAUACUUAAGGGGAUAAGCUUUUAAGUAAAUUCUUAUAAUAUUUUUAUUCAUUAAUUGAUUUGUAGGAUUAGAAAUUUUUAUCUUUUAAGUUUGUUAUAAUUUAUCUUUUAGUGAAUUUAAUUUUUAUUUUGUUUAGGUUUUUUAUCAAGAAAAAGUUUAUAAUUUUUGUAAACUUGUAAUAAUGAUAAGAUUAGUAUAAAUUGUUGUUUAUAUUAUUUUUUAGUUUAGGUUAAUCUAAGGAACUCGGCAAACUAACUCCUCGCCUGUUUAAUAAAAACAUGUCCUUUUGAUUAUAAUUUAAGGUCUGACCUGCCCAAUGAGUAGUUCAAUGGCCGCGAUAUUUUGAUCGUGCGAAGGUAGCAUAAUCAUUAGUUCCUUAAUUGGGAGCUGGUAUGAAUGGUUGGACGAGGGAGAAACUGUCUCAGGUUAAAUUUAUUAGAACUUUAUUUUUAAGUAAAAAAGCUUAAAUGUUAUUUAAAGACGAGAAGACCCUAUAGAGUUUUAUACUUUUAUUUAUAUUUAAAUUGAAGAAUUUAAUUUUGUUUGUUUUUAAAAGUAUUUGGUUGGGGCGACAGGAAAAUUUAAUAAACUUUUUCUUUCUAAAGAUAUUGAUGUAUAGAUUUUUGAUCCAUUUUUUAUGAUUAAAAGAUUAAAUUACCUUAGGGAUAACAGCGUAAUCUUUCUAAAGAGUUCUUAUCGAAAGAGAGGAUUGCGACCUCGAUGUUGGAUUAAAGUUAAUUUUUGGUGUAGAAGCUAAAAUAUUAAGUCUGUUCGACUUUUAAAACUUUACAUGAUCUGAGUUUAAACCGGCGUGAGCCAGGUUGGCUUCUAUCUUAAAUAGAAUAAAAUAUCUUAGUACGAAAGGACCAGGUAUUUAAUAAAAUAUUUUUAUUAUGAUUAUUAUU
rnacentral:rRNA from 1 species